rnacentral:lncRNA from 10 species
CUUACCUGGAAAAUAGAAAUACCAAUAAUGAUACUUGGCCUUUUAAUUUUAAAAGGCAGAUUGAAGACAAAAUGUGGCAAUUCAUAGGAAAGCAUUUUGCAAACUGCAAAAAAAAGACACAUAUGAUAAUGAGAGGAAAUUGAGAAAAAAAGGCAGAGGAAGAGGAGAAGGGGACAAUGAAUUUUUAGGGUUGAGAGAUGAGAAAAUGAAUGUGGCUGGUGGUAAUAUUUGGAGACAUCAUUAGAACAAUUUUUUUUAGAGAUGGGUGUCAUUCUGUUGCCCAGGCUGGAGUGCAGUGACUAUUCACAGACACAAACAUAGUGUGUUACAGCCUCCACUUCCUGGGCUCCAGUGAUCUUUCUAUCUCAGCCUCAGGAGUAGCUGGGACUACAGGCAUGCUCCAUCUCUCCCAGCGGUCUCUUUGUUAGUAUCCAUGAUUGAAGGCAUAUUGCUUCAGUUCUCAAAGCAUGGCCAGAAGAUGUCAUCAAGGUAUAAUAAAAAGAAAAUACUGAGGUUCUCAAAAAAAUGGACUGCAGUAUAAGAGUAUUAUAAAAACCACCCAUGAAUAUAUUUGAAAUCCUAGAUGAAAUGGAUCAAUUCCUAGAAAAAUACAAACACAAGAAUAAAUAGAAGAUUUAAGCAAAACAAUAAAACUAAAGAAAUGGAAAUGGUGGUCAAAAACCUUACCACUCACAGAUGUUCAUACAAAACCCAGAUGGUUUUACAGAUAAAGACAAAGAUAAACUGGUGGUUCUCAACCAAAUGCCAAUCUUAAAAAGGCUUCACCCUGAAGUUACAUACCUCAACAAGUCCCUGCAGUAUUCUGACAAAGAUGACACAUCCAUAAUGCACUCUGGCUGCUGAUGGAAUUAGCAUAUUUAGGGUAGAGGUAAGAAGUAUGGCAGCUCCGAAAACCCUGAAAUAGAAAAGAUGAGAACACUGUUUAAAUGAUUCAGCAUCUUAUAUAUACAUAUCUAAAUUUCUCAGGAGAAGUGAAACAUUUAAAGUAAUAAAAAAAUCGCCAAUAAUUUUAAGGUAGAUUGUUUUUUCUAAUAUAUGUUCUGGACUUAACAGGCUAGCCAUUGUGAAUAUAUACAUGGGCCAUCUAGAAAUUCUAUAUUUGAUGCUUCAAAAAAUAAAAGGAGUCAAUACAUUUGGUUAUACUAUUAUUUUCUUUAUAGACUUAAUUACAAAUUAUAAAUAUUUAAUAAAUCAAUAUAUGUUUUGGACUCUAUUUCAUUCUACAAUGUAAACUGCUUAAGGGUAAGAGCUUGUUUUUCACAUCCAUUGUAUCCUUGACACUUAGCACAGUGCCUGACACACAGUUGGUAAUAACUGAAGAGUUACUGGAAAUAAUGAAUGCAUAAAUAAAGUUAUUCCUCACAUUAUGCAACUACUUGUAGCUUUCCUAGAAGCUGCACAUACAGAGAAAUUUUAUAAAUGAACUCGUAUUUUAAAUGAACCAAGAAGUCUCUUGAUUAAAUCCCUUAGCACAUGUUCUCGAAAUAAUGCAAAUAAUUAUACUUAGUAUAUCUCUCUCAGGUUUCUCAUUUUUUUCUUCUGUUUGAGACACAUCUCGAGCAGCCUACAUACAACCAUUCAAGAAAAAAAUGCCAGAAACGUAAUGCUAAAGCUUUUAUCCAUCUACAAGUAAAAAUUCCAUUCCUUCGUUAAAAAAAGAAAAAAAAAUCUUCUGGUCGGGUGCAGUGGCUCACUCCUGUAAACCCCAGCACUUCUUCGGGAGGCCGAGGCGAGCGGAUCACAAGGUCAGGAUCUCAAAACCAGUCUGGCCAACAUAGUGAAACCCCAUCUCUACUACACAAAAUACAAAUAAUUAGCUGGUUGUGGUGGUGUGCGCCUGUAAUCCCAGCUACUCAGGAGGCUGAGGCAGGAGAAUUGCGUGAACCCAGGAGGCAGAGGUUGCAGUGAACCAAGAUCGCACCAUUGCAUCCUGGGCGGGCAACAGUGUGAGAUUCUGUCUCAAAAAACAAACAAACAAACAAACAAACAAACACUUCUAUAAUGUUUAUACCAAGUAAGAAAAGUAUUCCUUUAGCUCGGUUACUUUAUAACUAUUCCCUUGCAAAGAUGUUUUGGGACGUGCUAACUCCAAUGAGCUAAUCUAUAUAUUUUAGGCAAAUUUUAUCAAGCCAAACACGAGCCUUAAAUUCAGUCAAUGUUGGUUGCCUCAUAGAAGCUCUAAUCUUUCUUGUGGGCACUUUUAAAUGUUACUGUUAAAGACCUGGAUUUCUGAAAAGGACCCUCU